rnacentral:lncRNA from 1 species
UCAUAAAAUUUAAUUAAUUAGUCAAUUUAUUAGAAGUCCAUCAAUAAGAAAUCCUAAAAAACCUAAACAGAUCAAGAGAGAGAAAUAACCCAACUAGGGGUACGACUACAAUGGCUUCAUACUUGAAUCAAGAUAAAUCAAGGAUAUGCCAAUCAAAUGGCGAAGCCUAACGACCCAAAAUCAAUCAGUUUGAGUAAUUUUAUAUCAUCAAAGAUCAAAAUAGGAUACAAGUCGAACAUCACAAUUGAGGAUGACCAAAUGUACUAGGAUCUCACAACAGCC